UUGACAUGUGAAGCAGGCUUGUUUCUAAUUUGAAGUAAUAAAAAAUACUUUCUUGGAAAAAAUAAGGCAUUAAAAAAACCAAAAGAAAAGUUUUGGUAAUUCUUUGUUGAAAUACGAUUUUUAAUGAAAAAUGCUAAUUUAGAAUGCAAAUAGGUACUUGGGCCUUUAAAGAUCAGAUCAGUACCAAUGGAUGAAUGGAUCUUGCAUACAGCCAAUGUUGGUUCUUUUGACUAUAAAACUGGCUGUGUAGAAGCGAUUUCCAAAGCUAUGAGGAGACAUCAGAAUUCCAAAUGUUUUAAUUGUGGUAGAAUAGGCCAUCUGGAAAGAAAUUGUUCACAGAGCAUUAUUAGAAAUAAUACUUAUUCUGGGAAUGAUCCAAAAAGAAGGCCCCAAUCUUCUGGAUUAUGUAGAAGAUGUGGCAAAGGCCAACAUUGGCCAAUGAAAGUAGAUCAGCAAGAGAUGAAAAAGGCAACCUUUUAGCAUCUGGAAACUCCUUGUGAGGAGCUUCUUGCUGGCCCCCAUGUAGAAAUCGGUGUAGUCAUUCACUGUUACUUUGGAGGACAGUCCUCUCUCCAAAACAAUUAGGAAAUCCAGUGCCUAUUGUGAAAAACCACACUUCUCCAGAUAAUAGAAUAGCUUUGGAGGAUGAAUCAAAAAUUCAAGGAGGAAACAGGAAAUGUAUAUUUUGUCAGACUUCUAUAAAUAUCCAAAGACCAAAACUAAGAGUGCAAAUAAAUAAUGUUAUACUAGAAGGAUUACUGGACACAGGUGGCGAUGUCACCAUUAUCACUCCAGAAUCUUGGCAUCCAAGUUGGCCUCUUCAGGAAGUAGAUGUUAAAUUCUUAGGGAUUGAAACCCUAUCUUGGGUAAACAAAGCACGAGAUGGUUUGAAUGUAUAGGGCCAGAAGGACAAAGAGGAAGGCUGAGACCAUAUGUGGGUAAUAUAUAGCAAUAAAUAUAUGGGGUUGUGAUGUUACAGGAAUGGAAUACCCAGAUUAACAUUCCUUCAGUAUCAGAAAUGAACCAUAAAACAACUCAUGUUUGUGGAAAAAAUAUUAUAAAGCACUAUAAAAAAAAACAGUCUUCGAUUAUCCAGGCUGCACAAAACUAGAAUAUAACUAGUGUUGAACUUACAGAGGACCAAAAGCCCUAGCCUUAAAAUGGCUAACUGCCAUUUCUGACUGGAUGAAGUAAUGGCCUAUGACCUCUGAGGAGCUAGAGGCUCUAAAACAGCUGCUGUACAUAUUGAAGAAUCUAUAAGCCCUUAGAAUCCUCCUGUAUUUGUUAUUAUAAAGAAAUGUAGAAAAUGAGAAAGCUUACAGACCUGAGAGCCAUUAAUAAAGUAAUUCAGCCAAUGGGCUCUCUACAGGCUGGAAUACUCUUGCCUUCUCUGAUACCUAAAGAAUGACCUACUAUAGUUAGUGACUUAAAAGACUGUUUAUUCACUAUACAAGAGAAAGACAGGGAAAUUUUUGCCUUCUUGGUGCCUACUUACAAUAAUUCUCAGCUGGUGAAGAGAUACCAAUGGAAGAUCCUCCCACAGGGAAUGUGAAAUAGCCCCAUCAUGUGCCAAUAUUUUCUACAAAAGCCAUUGGAAAUAAUUUGUGUACAAUUUCCACAAUCCACAAUUUACGAUCAUAUGAGUGAUAUUUUAUUAGCUGAUCCAAAGACAGAGACAUUAAAAAUUUUCAAGGAAGUAAAGAAAGUUUUACCUCACUGGGGACUAUGAAUUGCUCUUGAAAAAAUACAGAGAGCAGAUUCUAUUAAUUACUUAAGAUAUAAAAUAGAUCACAAAAAAUUAAACCACAAAAAGUACAAAUCAGGUAAGGCAGGAUAUAAAUCAGGAGAUAUAAGUAAAGUGGUUCAAAGCCCUUAUAACUCUGUGCAAAAGAUAUAAUUAUAUGCCAUUCUUAUGGUACUAAUGGACUUUACAGAAUCUCUCAAUAUAGUUACUGACUCUCAACAUGCAGAGAGUUGUCUUACACAUGGAAAAUGAUGAAUUUAUUCCUAAUAAUACAGAAUUAACUUUGUUAUUUAUACAAUUACAGUUAAUAAUCAGGAAUAGGAAUCAUCCUAUAUAUAUUGAUUGAUUAAUAGGAGUCUGCUGGAGGUCUCAGUAUUUUUUAAAAAAACACCCUGUGAAUAGCAAAGGUUUAAUAAAAGAAUUUUUCCAUCACUUGGCAACAAGCCAAGGAAAUUGUAAAAAAAAUGCCCUCCAUGUUCCUUCUAUACAACCAAACUCCUUUAUCUGUGGGAAGUAACCCUAAAUGUAUGCAUAGAAAUGAAAUUUGGCAAAUAGAUGUGCUUCAUUUUGCAGAAUUUGGAAAAUCAAAAUAUGCACACAAUACAAUAGACACAUAUUCAGAAUUCUGAUUGGCAACUGCUUUGAGCUCUGAAAGCAGUUGCCAAUUGGAACUUGCCCAGUUCCAACUGGAACUCUAGGUCUUAGCUAACAUUGGUUGCCCCUUAAUGUUUGUGAGACCUUUGAUGACUGUCCAGGUAGCCAACUGUUUCUGUCAUUUCUUGCAUCUUUGGGAAGUCACCUGCUUGCACUUCCUGCUUACCCUAACAAAGUUAUUUUUCUUUUCAGGUCUUUGAUGAAGUUGAAGACUAUGUAGUCACAGCUAACAUCCUCUCUUAGCUAGAGCAUAUUAGGUACAAGACUUAUGCUUUCCAGAAUAGGACAGCUAUUGGGGUAAUCUUUGUUAUAUGCCAUUACCUUUGACCUGGACAUUUAGUAUGUUUCUUGCUUAAUGUUGCUCUUACUGGUUGUAGGUCUGAAUUCAUGUAUGUUUUACCUUUCUUUCUCCUGGGCUAUACUUGAUAUCUGUUGUCAUUAUAUAUGGUUUUUGUAUCAGGUUUAAAACCCUCAUAUUUAUACAAAAAUGGGAAAUGUAGUGUCAUCUUGUUCCACCAAUACACUUGUGGUAAUGGUCUUCUGUGUGUGGAUGUGAUCCCUUAUAAGGAAGAGGAGGGGCCUCACUAGGGCUUUCUCUUGGUUGUAGUCUGAGAGUCCUGCAUCACAGGCCCUGUGCCUCCAGGGGCAGAAGACUGUAGUGGUUAUUUUCCUUCAUUGUGUGAGUGCUCCCCAAAUGAAUAUAUGUUAUUCUUUUUUUGGGUGUUCAUGGACUUCCUUUAACCCUCCUUCAGAUGAAAGUCAUGCUGACUGUGGUGAGAGGAUCUCCAGUAAAUUUUAAUUUGUGUUUCCCUGAUGGCUGAGGAUGCUGGACACCUUUUCACAUGUUUCCUAGCCACCUGUAUUUAUUCUUCUGAGAGCCAUCUACUCAAUUCAUUAGUCCAUUUGUUGUUUGUUUAUUUUUGUGUUUAAUUUUUGUAGUUCUGUAUAUGCCCUGUCUAAUGCAUAAUUAGUAAAGACUUUUCCCAUUCUGAAGAUUAUUUCAGUUCCCUUGUGAUGCUUAAGCUAUUUAAAUUAGUGUGGUGACAUUGUCAUCUUAGAGAGGUUUCUUCCUGUGCUACUGAAGUUCUUUUCAGAAUAUCCUUUCUUGUGCCUAUAUUUUGAAGUAUUUUCUCUUAGCGGUUUCAAGGUUUCAGUUCCCAUACUGAGGUCUGAGUUUGUUUUUGUGCAUGGUAGGAGAUAAGGGCCUAGUUUCAUUCUUCUAAAUGUGGGCAUCCAUUUUUUCCAAGUUAGGUAGGUGGCUGAAUCAAUGUAGGUUUUUCCCCCGAGUCUAUGAUUCUACUUCAUUGGUUUUGUAUCUGUUUUUGUGACAGUACCAUGCUAUUUUUGUUAUUAUGGUUCUGAUCUGUAAUUUGAGGUCCAGUAUUGUGAUAUCUCCAGAAUUUAUUUUUCCUAAAGAUUGCUUUGACAUUUUUGAGUCUUUUGUGCAUGCAUAAUGGAUUUUAGGAUUACUUUUUCUAGUUCUAUAGAGAGGGUCAUUGAGAUUUUGAUGCAGAUUAUAUUGGAUCUGUAGAUUAUUUCCAGUAAUAUAGUCAUUUUCAAAAUAGACAUUCUACCAAUCCAUGAAUGCAAUUCUAUCUUCUCCAGUUUCAUUUUUCAGUGUCAUAAAGUUUUCAUUAUAGAGGUCUUUUCACUUCCUUGGAUAGGUUUAUUCCUAAUUAUUUGUUUUAAAUUUUAAAUUGUUUAAUUUGUAUUGUUGUUUUACCUGCCUUCUUCCCAGCAUCCUCUCUGCCCAGAAAGACUCAGAACAAUCAGGAUGGACACUAUAGAGAUGAGAUAAUAAAGCCACAAAGCAGAAAAUUGGAAAGAAGAAAUGAAUCACUUCCAGUCAUGCAUUUUCCUGAUGAUUUUGAAAAAUGAUUUAUUUAAUGAGCAUGGACAUUUUGCUUCCAUGUGUGUCUGCUUACCCCAUGCACUUAGCAUUUGCAGAAACAAGAAGGGCGUCAAAUCCCCUGAAACUGAGGCUAAAGAUGGUUCAUCGUGAGCUGCUAUAUGAGUCCUGGGAAUAAAACACAGGUCCCUGGAGGGCAACUGGUGUCAGUGAGCCGGAUGACCCCAUGCCCCAAGGUUCCCAGAGAAAGAGGGAAACCUGCCACCACAGCCUGCCCUGUCUGGCUGCUGAGAGGCAUCGGAGCAGCUCCCAUAGGCUCCCGCCGUCCCCGCAUGCUUGUGGUUUGGACUCCUGCACUCCGGAGACGGCCUGCAGCCCUUGAGGGUUCUAGGGUUAGGAUUCUGAGCUCUCACCGCCACAAGCCGCCUUCCUGUCUUCUGGAGACUAGUCAAAAAGUGGCAGAACCCCGGGUAGCUGGAGGUAGUGUUACGAACUUCCAUGUAAACUUCACAAAAGCUUAAAAAGGGAUCUUAGCAGCAAAA